ACUUCUUCCAAACUAGGCAGUGCUGCAAGCUCAUCCCUGGUUUGAUGUUGCGGGAUUUGUGAGAUGGUCUCUUUGGCCACAUUGGAGCUGCGAUUCAGCAGGUUCUGAUAGUGCUCUUUCCAACGUAGUGCAAUUGAUGUUUUGUCCUUCAGAAGUUUGGUUCCAUCUGAUGAGCGUAGGGGCUGUAUGCCAUGGUUUCUUGGUCCGUAAAUGAUCUUUGUGGUUUUGAAAAAUCCCUGAGCAUCAUGGGUAUCUGCAAGGUGUUGGAUUUCUUCAGCCUUCUUUAUCCACCAGAUGUUCUUGAGUUAUCUGGUCCUCAGCUUUUGCACUGGCAUAGAUCUUUUUCUUGGCAGCACAGUUGGUGUCUCUCUGCCAUGUUUGGAAGGCUUCCCUUUUGUUAUCAAUUAGCUGUUGGAUCUCUUUGUCGUUAUCGUCAAACCAGUCUUGAUGUUUCUUAGUUUGGUUUCCAAUGGUGUCUUUGCAGACUGUGAUGAUGGAGGUCUUCAGUUUGUUCCAAUGUUCCUCAACAUUUUCGGGGUGUUCUGUGGGUAGAUGAUCCUUGAGUGUUGUUUGGAGAAGGGCUCGUUUGGAGGGCUCCUGAAGGGCUUGGGUGUUCAUUUUACACCUUGUUUUUCUUCCUUGGAGUCUGCGUUUGGGGAUGAUCUUGAUAGCCAUCGUGGAUCGGAUUAACCUGUGGUCCAUCCAGCAGUCAUCAGCACCUGUCAUGGCUCUUGUGAGAAGCACAUCGCGGCGGUCUCUGGCACGUGUAAUGACAUAGUCCAAGAGGUGCCAAUGCUUUGAUGUCUUGAGCUUGUUUUUCUGGUGGAAGAGCGUGUUGGUGAUGGCAAGGUUGUGCUCUCCACAUUUGGUGAGAAGCAAGAUGCCAUUCGAGUUGCUGUUUCCGACCCCGUCUUUUCCUAUGAUCCCUGGCCACAGGUCAGAGUCCCAUCCGACUCUGGCAUUAAAGUCCCCCAGGAGGAUGAUUUUGUCCUCCUUAGGAAUCUCCGCUAGGACGGUGUCCAGCUGACAAUAAAAAUUUUCCUUGAUGUCUUCGUCAGCAUCUAGAGUUGGUGCAUAGACACAUAUGAUGGUUGCCUGUUGGUUUUUGGCAAGGUUAAUUCGGAGGGUUGAGAGUCGUUCAUUGAUGCCAGUGGGUGCUUCAGUCAGGUGCUUCACCAGGUUAUUUCUGAUAUCAAAGCCAACUCGGUGUAUUCUUCACUCUUCUUCAGGCAGUCCCUUCCAGAAGAAGGUGUAGCCUCCCUUUUCUUCCUUCAGCUGUCCCUCUCCUGCUCUCUGGGUCUCCUGAAGGGCUGCUAUGUCGAUCUUAAAGCGUCCCAGCUCCCUUGCAAUGAUAGCAGUCCUGCGUUCGGGGCGUUCGCUGUCAGUGUUAUCCAACAGUGUCCGUACGUUCCAUGUUCCAAAGUUCAUUUCUCUUUUUUGGCCGCAGAGUGGUGACCCUCUGGACGUGGCAGUCCAGUCAGGGUAAGAGAGGCAGACUAUGUUUAGGGCACCUUUUCUAGCCCCUUCCCCGUGUGGGGUGAGCAGAGCGGAUCCUAAAAAGGGCUGCUCAGUCAUGGAUACAGCUGCCGGACUACUCAACUGCCUCGGUCCUUGAGGUAGAACGACUGAGUCCAUAUCCACCGCCCAUGUGCCAGUCUGUGACUAGGGGCUUCCAGAUUUCACAGUCCUGUCCCCGUCACCACUCGCUGAUUGCCAUGGGACAUUUUUGGUUUGUUUUCAUUUUUCUUGGAAGACGCCUGUGUGUGAUUUUUUUAAAUGUGUGGAGGUCGGUGCACAGCCGGUCAACACAUAGUCUUCACAGAAUGAGGUCCCAGCAGUGGUGUGGUUAACACAACAAGAGUGGCUUCUCAGUCUGUUGCAGCCUUCUUCCGCCUUCACAGCCAUUGUAACAUGUAUCAUGUUAUCCUCCGCCUGCUCCACCGUUGAGGUCUUUGGGUCUUCAGAUUGUGCUUGGUCUGGAACCUCCCCUGCGGCCACUCCUGGGAGUGCAUCACUCCAGUGGUUGUGCCCGCAGGUUCAUUGGAACACGCAAGCCCCCUCACCAAGACAAGGUGACAAUCCAUCGAGGGUUUAUAAUUACAACUUAUAUUCCAAAUCUAUGUAUAGCAGAUUAUAGGGACAAAUGGUAGAUGAAAUCUUGUCUACAUUAAAGGCAGAAUAAGUAGCUUACAAUAGGCAUAUUAGAAAAGGAAAUGCAUAUGUUAAUGGAAAUUGAGGAAAGCUUAUGCAAUUCUACAUAAUUGGUCAAAUUAUAAAAGUAAUCACUACAUGCUCUGAAUCAGGAAAAUAAUUUUUAAAUAAAAAAUUAUUGCGGUCAAAUAACUUUUAAAAAACUCUUCUAAAUUCAGCUGGUUUUGCCUCAUUGGCAGGAAAGGGGUUAAGUUCCAGCCACUAGAUCUCAGGGGAAAGGAACUUUGCUGCCAUUCUCUCUGAAUGCAGGGAUAUGUGUGUGUGUGUAAGCGCGCAAGGGGAACCAUCUUUUGGCUAGCACAAUCUUCCCGCUGCUCUCAGGUGCUUUUACAAAUGGAUCAACAGCCUUAAAGCAAGCGCAAAUUUCUCAAUAUAUGAAUUUAGAAAAUGGUCUUCUUGCGUGUGGUCAAAUUAUUGUAGUGUAGCCCUACCUUUCAUUUUUUCAAGAAAAUAUUUGUUUCUUUCUCUGCUGGAAAAAAGGAACAUCAGCUCCAAAGAGUUCAGCACUAUCUUACUUUGAAAGCACAGGAACAUAAGCUGCAAUAAGAUUGGUUAGAUCACUGCCACCUACACAUGCUUUCUGAUAGACUAUGCUUCUGCUUUGGAGGAAAGACUUCUAGUAAACUCACCCUACUGAGAUGUUUCUGCUGAUGGCUACAUCGGAAUUGUUCCUGCUUUUGGGCUGGAUAUGGCAGUCAGACUCCCUCUGCUCACCCACCACAUUUUUCAAAAACUGUUGGAUCCGGCGCUUCCCAGGUCUUGGAAUUGAUCUGGAGAAUUCACAGAGGAAAGGGGCCCACAUCAUCAAAGUAUAUGCAGAAUCAACAGCACUGCGGUGUAGCCAGACUUGUUGCCUUCUCAAGAACGUUUCCUGUAACUUGGCAGUUUUCUACAAUGAAACCAACAACCUGAAUCUUAAGUGUGCGCAUAUUUACUGUCCAAUGUUGGAGAGCUGUAUACUGAAGCCUAAGGCCAAUGCUGUAUUAUACAACAUUACAACAGGCAUUGAUCCAGAUCUCCUUGUAUUUGAGAAGCUUUCUUUUAAAGAUGUGACUAUUAAGUCUUCUUUUAGUAAAUGGGAAAGGCAUGGAAACGUAAGGGCUGCUGAUUCAGACAAAUGCCAAGACUCAACCACCACUUCUAGGGGCCUUCCUCCCGAGACCUCACCUUCGGCAGUAGUACAAGGACUAGAAACUAACAGUAAAACUACAAGGACUGCAAGUGGCCCUGUGUACAAGAAUGCGUCCAUUACAUAUUUGGGACCUACAGUGGCAUCAAUGGAGGGACAUUUUACUAACGUGACAAACAUCAUUUCAGAAAGAAAGAGUCCAAGAAUCACAUCUGACAAAGCAACUACACUUCCUACCUCUGUGCUCACAUCCAUCAAGAUGUUAUCACAUUUACCCAAUAUGGCCCACCUGAACAACAGCAAACACCUGAAUGAAACCAAAGGUUAUGGUGGAAGGAAUUAUACUUCAGAGGACCAAGGCCACAAGCCAGCUUGGGAGGGAGUAGGAAGGAAAAGCUGGUUGCUUCCAGUGAUGCUUUGUUCUUCACUCAUCCUGAUCUGUUGUUGCAGCAUUUUUCUUGCCACAGGAUGCCAUCGCAAGAGGCAUGGCCGCUAUACACCAAGACGGAGAGGGAGAGCCAGCGUACAGGCAAAAAUGGUCUUUAAUGGAAAAAUGUCAAAUAGCAGAUAGCUUAACAUCUCACAUUUCAAAAGGGCAGACUAGAGUGGAGAACUGCAAGACUGAGAACUGAAAAAGUAGCUGCGAUUGCUUUAAAAAUGAAGCAUUUUUGUCUGUCUUGGAUUGGUUACGAGUAUUAUAUCUGACCAUUAAAUUAGAACAAGAUCUAAUUCCUCAGCACAUAUGUUUUCUGUUCACUACAGCGUACUGAGUUCCUUUAUCUAUCCUUUUAGCAUUUUCUGAAAUUUAUCCAGUAAUGGACGUGAUAAGGCCACAAACACUCUGUCAGCAUAUCAAUACUAAAUAUGAACACUUGCACUAAGGGGGCAGAGAAGGAAACUAGAGGCACUUUUAGGACAUUUUAUAUUAAAAAAAAUGCACUGAGACAUUGUUUGAACUAUGGAAAUCUCAAUCUAAGAGCAGUUUGCAUCCUCAGAAGUUCCUGUUUGUAAUAUACAGAUUUUAAUUACACAACCCAACAACAAAAAUUCUUGGGAUCUUGGUUUUUAGGCCUGCUCCUGGGGUUAUUUGGGAUGCUAAUUCAGAAAAUUGCAUUGGAUACGCAUCAAUUCUAGUUUCUUAAAAAUUGUUAUCAUGGUCUUCUGUGGACGAGCAGAUGGUGAUUUGUAUGUCAUAGGUUCUGUAUCUCAAAAAAUUAGAGCUAAUGGGAGGAACUGGUGCCAUUUUUUAAAAAAUCAGAUCAAAUAUACCCAAAAGCAGGUCUAAAUUUGAGGCAACAAAAUGUGUGUUGGCUGCAACCAGAACUCCUGGUAGCUUACAAUUAAAAAAAAAGAUAUGGUGCUUUGGUAGGACAAGGAACCCAUUUAUAAUCAAAACUGAGGUCCUACUAAACAUUCAGACUAGAGAGUAUACUAACUCUGUAUGCUCAAUCAACAAUCACCACCUGUUAGAUGGGGAGACCCAUUAUUCUGAAAUGUUAAACCUCCGUUUCUGCCCUUCCUUGAAUUGGCUAAGAAAGUGGUUCUUAACCUGUGGGUUCCCAGAUGUUUUUGGCCUUCAACUCCCAGAAAUCCUAACAUUGAUCUAUAUUAUAGAUUGCUAAAGCAGAAGUUAAGCAUCAAGGAUCUAUAAUACAAUUAAAAGUGCAGCGAGCACUGAAGAGUACUAAGCACUAUUUCUAUCACAGUAGCUAAUAAUGCAACUACCUUUUGAUUGUUAGGACAGACAAUAUGAUUCUCUGCUGUGUAACAUACGCCAAACAUGCUUUCUUACAAGUUGUCAUGAUCCCCAUCUCAUGCCAUCUCUGGACACAGAGUGCUGACACAGAGCAGAUGGCCAUGAGUCAAAAGGGAGAACAGAACAUAUGAACCAGCCAUAAAACUCAACUGCCUUGAGGUAGGGGGAAAGGGACUCCGGAAUGUGGAAAUGGGCAACCUAUAGGUGCCAGGUCUCUAAGAGUGAUUUAUAACACUGUAGCUAGACCUAUAUAGAUGGGAAGUAGAGCAGACUCUUGUAUUCUGAGCAAUAAAGCUUUAUGAUAUCUUCA